ensembl:lncRNA
CUCCAAUGUUGCAUUUCUUUUCUUCAUAAUAUUUUCAUGCAUUUCUACAAAUUUUGCCAUGGGGUGGAGAGAAGUUUUAAAGCUGAUUUCCUGUUAUUCUACACAUUUUGCCAUGUUCAUAUGAUAUCUGAGUGAGAGUACCUAACAAAAAUCAAUGGGGGCCCCCUGGAGGUCAGGGCCCCUGGACACAUGCCUUGUUUGCCUGGUCAGUAAUUACUACAAGGUGUAGAUAGCUGGCUAGACUAACUUACCAAUACAAACCCAUUUUUAGCUGACAUGAGCUACUUCAGUGACUGUCAGUGACUGACAUUACAUGAGAUACUGCUGAUGCGCUACCAUAUUUCAAAAUUGCACCUUGUGUAUUCGACUAACUCUCAGCAAAAAUGUGAAUUUGGGUUAGGGGCCCCCUAGCGUCUGGGGGCCUUAAGCGACCGCUUAUGUCACUUAUGCCCAGGACCGGCCCUGGACAAUUCAUAACAAAGUAUGAUACAUUUUUGAAGUCCUGCAACCAUCAGUAACAACUGCAUUCCUUCUCUUAUACAGAUCAGAGGUCUUUGUUUUCUGUGCUGAGCAGCACCCCAAGAUCCAAGCCCAACACCCAAGCCUUGGCAUUUGGGAUGUGGCCAAGAAGCUUGGAGAGAUGUGGAACAAUAUGACAGACUCCAAUAACCAGCCAUAUCUUGCCAAAACCAACAAACUCAAGGAAAAAUACAAUAAGGAUGUGGCAGGUUACAAAGGAGGAAAAGGAAAACUGGGCGGGGCAGGAGCCUCUAAAUUGAAGAAGGCGGAAGACGAAGACUAUGAUGAUGAGGAUGACUAAUAGAAAAGGGGAUCCACAUUUCAAGGAAUUGUAAGUUUGCGUUUGAGGGAAUUGUAUGUGUAUCUAGACACAAAAUCCAUAGACUUGAGGUAGGUGUCCAGUCUGACAAUCAGGUAUUCCGGUAACAUUGCCGUGGCCUAUUAUGCCAACCACCUGUGUGUUUGAGGCAGGACUGAUCCAUUUCAAUGUGUUGUGGCUGAAAGGAAUGAUGAUGAAAUGGGUUCUAUGUUUUCAUUGUUCUGUUGUUAAUUUGGAUAAGUGGAAUGACAUUUUAGAUCUUAACAUUUCUCCAUCUCUUGACCAGUGGUGACAAUACAUCUGUUGGACAAGGAGUUUUUCUUUGCACCUGCACAAUGUGUUUUGUAUGUCUCUGAUCUAAAUAAUAACGUUUUUUACGUUCUGUGUGGACCAAAUAGAUUUAUUCCCUCUAUGGAAAUGACUGAUUUUGUAUUUUUUGUGGUCUUUUUCUUUAGCGGUAAAUGUCAUAAACAUUAUGCUAUUUUGAUUUUACAUUGGAACAUUUAGCAGAUGCUCUUAUCCAUAGCAACUUGCACUACUGUUGUGACAGGCAUUCAUAUUUUAGUAGCAACGUUAAAACUCAUUAUUACACUUAAUAGGAACAUGUCACAAUUCUGAGAAUGUAAGAAUUUAGCUGCUUACAAUUUCUUAAAGAUAAGAAUACUUCUAUGCUUUGGGCCCUGAAAGUGCUCCCUGGAAAGCCACUAUCCUCAAUUGAAUCCUGGAUUUAAUCUUCAAGGUUAAUAAUACAUUUUUUAAAUAGCUCCUCUCAUUGAGUUUUGAGAAUAUAAUCUGCAAACCACCUUUCCCCAC